rnacentral:rRNA from 1 species
UACGUAGGUGACUAGCGUUGUCCGGAUUUACUGGGCGUAAAGAGCGCGCAGGCGGUCGUUCAAGUCGAGUGUGAAAGCCCCCGGCUCAACUGGGGAGGGUCAUUCGAUACUGAUCGACUCGAAGGCAGGAGAGGGAAGCGGAAUUCCCGGUGUAGUGGUGAAAUGCGUAGAUAUCGGGAGGAACACCGGUGGCGAAGGCGGCGACCUGGGACAAUACUGACGCUGAGGUGCGAAAGCAUGGGGAGCAAACAGG